CAGAAAUUCUCAUUCUGUGAUCUAAAUCAAGGACCCUAUGUGAAGAGUCCCUACGUUCAGAGAGGAGCUUCACAAAUGUUUACUUGGAUGCGGUGACAAUAUCUUCAGUGGCAUUUGCUGAUUUCCAUUCAGCUCAGUGUCAUCACUUUC